rnacentral:rRNA from 1 species
CCUACGGGAGGCAGCAGUGAGGAAUAUUGGUCAAUGGACGAGAGUCUGAACCAGCCAAGUAGCGUGAAGGAUGACUGCCCUAUGGGUUGUAAACUUCUUUUUUAAAGGAAUAAAACGAGGCACGUGUGCCUUUUUGCAUGUACUUUAUGAAUAAGGAUCGGCUAACUCCGUGCCAGCAGCCGCGGUAAUACGGAGGAUCCGAGCGUUAUCCGGAUUUAUUGGGUUUAAAGGGAGCGUAGAUGGGUUGUUAAGUCAGUUGUGAAAGUUUGCGGCUCAACCGUAAAAUUGCAAUUGAUACUGGCAGUCGUGAGUACAGUUGAGGUAGGCGGAAUUCGUGGUGUAGCGGUGAAAUGCUUAGAUAUCACGAAGAACCCCGAUUGCGAAGGCAGCUUACUAAACUGUGACUGACAUUGAUGCUCGAAAGUGUGGGUAUCAAACAGGAUUAGAUACCCGGGUAGUC